UUUUUUUUUUUUUUUUUUGUCAACACUUUAUAUUAAUGAUUCAAACAAACCAAAACUAAAAAAACAUUGUUUAAAUCUAAAAUAAAACAAAACAAAACUCGGGGAUUUUUAUUUAUUUCGCGAAAUCCAAAAUCUAAAAAUCACUUAAAUCUCUCUCUAACAUUUUACUCGAUUGUACAUAAGCUUCUAAUACCAACUUGAACGAUCAUUCGAUCACAAACCACUUGUAAACAGCCGAACGUUCAUAGAUUGUUGUUUCAUAGUAUCCACACGUGACAUGUAUAUCACAUUACACAUUUAAUGUCCAAAUCGAAAUGCCACGCUUCCUACAUUAUUAUAUUUAGGAAUUUGGGUACUUGGGAGUUGGAAUCCAUUAUAAUUUAAUCAAACUAUGAUUUUAAAAUUCAUCGUCAAUAAAUUCACUCACUCGAUCGGAACUCGGAAGGUUGGUUAGUCAAUAAGUUAUACUAUUGCUUGUGUAAAUUUGUAUAAUACUGACGGGGCCAUAUACAUAUUUAUAUAGUAACAUUUGAGAAUUAUAUUUUCAUAGUAUUUAUAUCCAAAAGUGUAAUUUUUUUGGGUGUUGAAAUUUUUACUAUUAUCUUAAUCUAAAAUUGUUUGGUUGUGUUCAUAUCCAAACGCGAUUAAUGUAAAAAAAAAAUAUGUUUAAUAGUUUGUUGAGUGCCUAGCUAGAUCUAGAUGUCAACUAUUAUUAUGACCGAAUAUAUAAACUUUUAGUCAACUAAAGAGAAGAAUCCUAUCUGUUAGUAAAUAGUGAAACAAGGUCACGUAGUCACGUGAAAUUCUGCUGCAAUCAUCCUUCGGAGCAAAGCCAGGAGCCUAUAACGGAGAACUUCAAAGAUUAUUAAAUCUAUUUCCCAUAUUUAAACUAUAGAUCGAAAAUAUAUAUAUAUAUAGAGAGAGAGUAUAUAUGGAAUUUUUACAUUUUAGUGCGAUCGUGUUAUAUCCAGAACCUAUAGCGUAAAUCCAAAAUGAGAGAAUAGUCAGAUCGUAACUUGGUAUUUAAUCAAUCUGGUUUUCUAUUCGCUUAUAGUUGCUUUGAGGUUCAUAUAGUAAUAUCGAUCAAACUUGAGAUUUGAUUGUCGGGUCAAACAGUAACUCUAAUAAAUUGUUUAUUCUUAUAGAUUAAUAUUUGCAUGGAUUCACUAAUUUCGGUUUGCAUGAAUUCACUUACUUUACCCCAAACACGUGUUGAUUUUAUUUCAAGUCUGCUGCACAGCUAAAGUCAAACAUAUACUUCCCUUUUAGUUUAGUGUCCCAGGUUAGUUGGGUUUGGAGUAUCAGCUCUUUUGGGCUAUAUAUAUAAUUAGAGUCUGGCCUAUGGUUAGAAGAGAUCAUGUCUACUUUUCAAAUUGAGAGUAUAGUGUGGUAAUUGUUUUGGGCUUGGAUUAGUAUUUAGGCUAAGGGUUAGACCGAUGGAACUUACAAUGUCUGGGUUAGGGAAUCAAGUUUGAGAAAUUAGGCCGACCAGUAAUAACUUAUUUUGAUUUGCCAAUUCUGGAAAAUAUAAAAUAAAGGAUGGAAAAAGCUAUUAGAAUUUCCGACUUCUGUGGAGGGACUAUGCGUGUAUCAUCCUAUUUUGAACACUUGAAUGUCACUAUGUUCAUCGCGUGUGAUACUGAGCAUAAAGGCGUGUAUUAAAAUGUCCCGCAUAGAAAAUUGGAAAGUUUGUUGAAUAAUAUAUAAGUUAUGUGACAAACUUUCCACUCAUGGAUUAUUUUUUGUAUAUGAGUUUAGAUCUAUUAAUGUAGUCUAACUAAUCUCAAAAGAAUACAGUAAAGUAGCCUAACAUUCGGUUUUUGGUCGGUUUUGGGUCGGGUUAAUCGGAUUCGGCAACUCAAAUUGUGUUUUCUUCCUUCUUCUUCCACCCAUCUCUAUGCCUUUUAUUUCUGAUUUUCUGCAAUUUGACAUGAUUUCCUUUGAAAUAGCUGCACCAUCAACACAUAAACCAAAUUGUGAGUCAAAAUGUCAUUAAAAACAUAAGAAACAAAGAAGAAAGCAAAGCAAACACACAAAAACGAACCAAGAAAUAUGAGAUCCAUAUCAUCUUGGAGUUUAAUCUUCGGAGUUGGUUCCUUGAGGCAUAGCAGUGGUGGUUGCUGUUAGUUUCUUAAGGGUCAGCGGCUCUAAUAUUUCUUUUAAGAUCUAAAGAUGAAAAAUAUUAGAUUUUUAUGUUUUUAUAUUUCUGGUUAAUUUUUGGUUUCGGGUCGGGUAGAAACCAAAAACCGAAAUUAAUUAGUAUAGAAUCCAAUCGAGUUUAUGUAUUAAACGAAUCCAAUUUCAAUCGGUUUAUUCGGAUUGGAUCCAAUUUGGGUUUUGGAUUUUGGGCUUUCUGUCGAGGCCUAAAUCAAAAGAGAAUGAUUGGCACAUCUUAUAUAUAUUGUUCAAAGAUCUUUAUUCCAAGCAAUGUGGGACAUGUUAUUUAUAAAAAUCUUUAGCCUCUUUCAAGAUGUGGAUGGGAAACGAAAACGAAUCCAAACCCAACAUCUCAGAAAUACUACAACAAAAUAUGUAUGUUAUUUAUAUGGAUCAUAUAGAUUAAAACCAUUCUCAUAGAAAUUUGUUUGUUGGGCUUUAUCAUGAUUCUAUAUUAGUAAAGCCCAACUAAUAAAAGACGAACCACUACGAAGUUGGUUUAUGUUUAUUUAUCCGUAGUCAAAUCGCAUGUUCACUGAGAAUCAAGCAUUCAUGUCCUUCCUAAACGAAUAAAUUUUCACAUUUACUUCAGUUGUUUAGUAUAAAUCUUGAAAAUUCAUAUGAAACAAAUCUCUAAUCACUAAAUAAAUAAAGGUUGUUCGCAAACAAGAUGUCUAAAUCUCUUCCAGGUUAUAUAUAAAACUGAGAAUGAAAUGUUUUGUAACUAAAACUGAUAUACUGAACACAAACGAUCAUUUUUCUUAAUUAAACAAACUUUGAUACAUUUAUAACCAAGAAAUAAAAACUAUAUAAAAAGCCAACUAUAGAUAUGAAAUAUUUUCUUUUAAUCUCCCUUCUUUAGUAUAUCCCAAGGUCCAUUUGCAUAAGGGGGUUAGCUAUAUGAACUUCAACCACAUCACCACCCAGCAUACUCGCUAAAGCUCGCCUGAUCAUCGGAUGAACCCACGUCCGCAUGAUCCACAGAUGACGACGAGGACGCAGUUUGAACUUGAUGGUGCUGAUGAUCAGUGUCAAUGGUGAGGUCCAUGAGAUCGUUAGGGUUGGGAUCAUAGUGAUCGUUUAGAUUUCCAAUGAGCAUUGCAAUAGCAGCUUCUUCUUCGUCUCCUUGCAUGUAAUCAUUCAUUAGCUCUUCAUAGUGGUUCAUGUCAUAGUUGUUGAUUAUCUCGUUCACUUCCAUCGACUCAUCUCCACUUCCUCCAUUUUGUUUGCCCGACAUUGUAACGGCAAAGUACUGUAAUAAGAACAAGCGAAUAAUACGCACACAAGUCAUAAGUCAUAAGCAAACCAAAUCAACCCAAAAAAAGGAAAAUUAUUAACUCUAUAUAACUUCAUGUAAUCAUUGACAGGAAAAGGCCAAAAACAGGCAAUAAAGUUUUGUCUGUAUGCUCAACAAACUGAUUUCAAUGACUACUUAUAAAAUUCCCAAUUUAAUUUGAACGUCUACUAAUUAGUCAUUUUUAAUUAACCCUUUUUGUCUUUUUAUAAUUAAAAAAAGGGGAAAGGGGAAAUUAAUAAGAGAGCUCACGAGAUUCUUGCUUUCGUCCUCGUAUAUUGUUAAAGUAUCUCCAGUCUCUAAUCCAUUUUGCUUCACAAAUUCUCCUUCAGUUAUCACACACACAGACACAUACACAAAAAUAUUAAAAAAUGAAAAUCAUAUAAGUAAAAUACUUUUGAUGAAAUAAUAUUUGGAGUUCCUCAAUAUUUACCUGUGUUUUCGAGGACAUACAUUCUGCUCUUGUUAUUGGACCAGAACCUGUGACAUUAAUACCAAAAAAAUAACUCGUAAUUUAAAAUAAACCCUUAACCAAACAAAAGAAAAAACCAUUAAAAUUUAGCGUAUGAUUAAGAAAGAAGUGAGACGUGAGACUAACUUGUAUUUGAAAGACCAAGACUGCAAAGAGAAAACAUCUCUCAUCUCUACAAUGAUUCCUUCUUUAUUAGUUAACUUCGGAAGCUUUCCUUCUGCUUCCCUCUGCAUUCCAAAGCCAAAUAUUCACGUAUUAAUUUCUUACUUAGGAAAAUAACAACAAUUAUCAUUAAACCAACUUUUAAUUAAUGUCUUAAUUAAACACCCAAGAUAUAUGUAGACUUUUUCCAUGAUGAUCUUUUUUUUGUGAACAAAAAAUUCACUUUCCCAUAAUUGUGUCUCGAGGUAAAUCAUUUAAGAGAUAUUUAAUACAGAAAAGGCCAUAUACUAGACGUCUUUUCAUUUUCUUCAACCCCAUAAUGUAAAAUAAACUCAUUUUCACAAUUUUCAUCUUAGCUAAAUACAUAACAAAAACUGGGUGUGAUACAUAACAAACAGUUCAAACUUAACUAUUAACUUUAAAUUAAGAAUUAAAUUCGUAUACACACUACAUGAUAAUGUUUAAAAAAUAUAUAUAUAUAUAAAUUUGUAAUAAAACCAAACUAAUUUGAUUAAAAGAACUUCAUUUUAUUCCACGUUCUCAUGUUCAUAUGCAUCAUGUUUUUUCGUGUGAUUUCCACAAUUUUCUUCAUAAAAUUUUCUCAUUUGCAAAUAAGAAAAAUAAUGAAAACGAAACAAAAGAAAUUGUAAAGUAAACUAAACUGAAUUGUAAGAAUUUACAUACCUUUGGGAGAACUAUCCUCCCAAGCGCCCCAACAUCGCUCUUCUUCAAAAGCUUCACACACAAAACCCUAAGUUUCUACAACAACCAACCAAUUGAAAAAAAAAAAAAUUAAUAUGUAUCAUAGAGUUAAAUAUUAUAAAAUUGGACCAGCACAAAAAAAAAAAAACCUUGUCAUCGAAAGUGGAGUGAGGGUAGAGAUCUUUUUUCUCAGGGAUCUGCGCAGAAGUUUUCAUGUCAAGCAUCAUCAGCUGUCUCUUUGAAUCAACCAAGUCGUUUGGACUAGAAUUAGGGCUAGGGUUGUUUCUUGAUCUGAUCAUGGCGUUCUUCCUGUUGAUCCUGGCCAUCUUGGUCGGAUCAAGAAAUCCCAAGCAAGGGUUAGUAUUACUAACCAGAGAACAGAACCCACUUCCGGUUUGGCCAACCGGGAUCUGAGGAAAACCAUCGGAUGAGUAAAGUGUCUGAUGAGGAUUCAUCAACGCAGCCAUCUGCUCCACCGGGUAUGGAUACGGCGGCAACAAGUGAUGAGGCUGAUGAGCAUAGGUCGGGAUCGUUGUGAAGUGAGAGAGAUUGUUGUUAACAUCCAGAGAGAAGUCUUGGACAGAGUUUGCGUUAGAAGAGGAGAAGAAGUUAUCCAUUUUUCCCGGGGAGAGAGAGAGAAAGAGAGAGAGAGAAAGAGGGAGAGAUAUGAAUGGAAGAACAAAAAAUAAAGAGAGAGGUCGUUGGGGAGAUUGAUUAGAAGAGAGCGAGUGAAGAAGAGACAGAUGUUGGAAAAACACAAAAGGAAACGAGUCAAAAUGUUGCAGAUGGUUCGAUGUUGCAGCUUAUGGGGAUACCCAUCUCACCACUCACACAAGGAGAGAGAUGUGAUUAUAUAGAGGCUGAGACAUAUACAUACAGUCGUGUAUAUGUAUAUGUGGCGCCAGAUUGUGUUUGAAUGUAUAUAAAUGGUGUUUAUGGCACAGAAGACCACGAGAAGGUCAUUGGCUGUUUCUGUUGUUUUUAUCUGAGAUAUAGAGAGAGAGAGAGAGAAGACUCUUUGUUUUAUUUUGGAGUUGCUUGGCUCUCUUCCUUUUAUUUACUCUCUUAAGCUAUCCUUAAAUCAAAGUUAUUACUUAAUAUUUUGUUCAAACUUUGAAAAGAUAAAUCUUUGUAGUUUUAGUAAUGGUUUGAUAGUUGGCAAUAAUAAAUUUUGGGGAAAUCAAUUAACAACCAUUUAUGUUUUGUCAAAGUUAAAGUUAUUCGUUACUAAUAUUUUUGUCGCUUGUACAUAUAUAUAUUUCUUUUUGACAACCUUUUGUCGCUUGUACAUAUUUAGGAAAAACCGUUAUUUUCUUAAAAUAACUUUAAUUUAGAAAAUUUUUGUAUUCAAAGAUUGGAAACGACAAAUCCAUUUAACUUUAGAAAUAUUAUAAUAUUCACAUAUUAAGUGUUACAAAAACUUUAUAACUUGUCACUCUUAUUUUGUAGAAACUCAUUAAUCGCCAUAAGUAUAUAUUUUGUUAUUGGACAUACUUUGGGAAAAGCUUACUUUUUGGUAUACUUAUAAGGCACUAUAAUAUCUUGUAAUUUAAAUACUCAGUAAAAUAGCUACUAAAGCUUUAGAAUUCAGAAUUCAAUUAUGUGUAAUAUAUUUACUUUAAACCUAAUUAUUUGGUAGUAAAACCAAUAUUAUACAUUUAAAAAGCUUAUAGCUGAUGUAAUCUUUAGAUGAUUUUGGAGUGUUGAGUGUGUUUCUUAGAACUGUUAAAAUAGGCAGUCCAUAGUCCAUCUAUGUCCAAUUUAUUAUGGACAGUUCAGUCACAAGUCCAUAUGUGGAGCGGAGAUGGUCUUACACUUUCAGGGAUUUCACACUUUCUUCUCCCAAACGGCUGGUGCUAGUGGAGUAUUUAGGACUAGAAAAGUAUUUGGAUUAGUCAGUUUUGGACAUGAUGACAUUUAAGAGCAUUGAUGCUUUGGCAUAUUGGAGAGCCAGUUCAAACCGUUUUAAGGAGUUGUCUUCUAUGGCUUGUGACAUUCUUAGCACCCCUAUUACGAAUGUGGUUGCGAAAUCAUCGUUUAGCAUAUCAACAUGGGUUUUAAGGAAGUAUCAAAGUUCACUUCUUCCUUCUAAUGUUCAUACUUUAAUAUGUGCAAGAAAUUGGCUUCGAGGAUUUGAAGAAAUUAUUGAUCUAUGUGAGUUUAUCGACAAAGACAAUGAAGAACAGGAGUUUGAAACAUUUGUGCUAAAAUUAUGUUUGAAUUUUGAAGUUUAAUUUCUAGAGUUUUGUGGUCAAAUGUGCAUUUGGAUUUUGGUACCUUUAACUUUCGUGUCAAAUUUGUCUUUGGAUGUUGUGUUUAGCCAUUUGUGUUUUAAUUUUUUUUCCUUAUUUUACACAAUUUGUUAUAUUUUGACCAAUAGACACUCAUAAAUAGCCCAUUAAAUAUGGUCGCUAAUGGACACGGUCAACUAUUUGUCCAUAACUAAAAUGGAUAAUGUUGGACGUCAAAUUAUAAUGGACUUGGACAGUCCAUUUUAAGAGCUCCGGUGUUUCUUUCGUUACCACAUACAAUUAAAUCUUAUGGUUGCUAUUAUUUUAUUACUUGUUAAUUUUGGAUUACUGAUUAGAGCAUUAGUUUGAUAGUUGGCAAUAUUAAAUUUUGAGGAAACUCAAUUAACAACCAUUUAUGUUUCGUCAAAAUCAACUUUAUUCGUUAUUAAUACUUUUGUCGCUUGUACAUAUUUCGAGAAAAUCCGUUAUUUUAUUGGAAAAAACUUAAUUUAGAAAAAUUUAGAAUUCAAAGAUUGAAAAAGACAAAUCCAUUUACCUUUAGAAAUGAUAUAAUAUUUACAUAUCAAACGUUACGAAAACUUCAUAAAUUGUUAUAACUCAUAUUUUCAACAAACUCAAUUAACCAUCAUAAGUACUUUAUCGAUAAAAACUUAUUAGGCACUAUAAUUUCUUGUAAUUAAUAUACUAGAUAAAAUAGUUACAAAAACUUUAAAUUUCGAAACUCAGUUUUGUGGAAAGUUUAUUUGUCUCGUUAGAUGAUAUUUGUUGAGUGUGUUUCUCUCGUUACCUCAUAAACUCAAGUCCUAUGGUUGCUAUUAUCUUAUAACUUGCGAAUAUUGGAUUACUGAUUAGAGAAGCACCUCCAUCAUGCAUCCAAGUUUGUGUAUAUGUCGUGUUGAGCUCUUAAUUCCAUCUGAUCUCAUGGCUGAAGCAAUAUCUACAUAAAUAAGCAUUAGUGCGGAGAAAUGAACUCGGUCUUCUUGUGAAUGCUCGGAUAGAAGUUUCUUUAGAAAAUCUUUGAUGAGCAUCACUUCCACCAUCCAUCGGUUGUCGCAGCCACAUAUUCUCUUUUCACAUACUUUCUCUCCUUUAUUACCCACAUAAUGAUCUCGUUAGCUAUCUUUCAUUCCAACUUGAUAGUUGAUACAAUGAAUCUCAACCCUAAAUUAGUUCUUUCUCCGAUGUAACAUCUUCCUAGAUCGUUCAACCAUAUCUACAAUCAUCACAUGUUGUUGUUAUCCUCAAAUUUGGAGAAGACGAAUGCUUAGAGAAAGGAUCUUCCAUUAAGAAGUCUAGGUCCAUGGCUCCUAGAAAAAAAAAUAUUAAUUAGAGAGUUCUCUAAUUCUUAUACAAACUAUUGAUUUUAGUUAUAGAAAACAGAAGACAUUGGUAGGCAUUUCCAUUUUAUUUUUUUAAUUCAAGAAAAGGGAAAAAUGUGAUGAGAUUUACUUUUUUUUUUCUUCUUCUCUUAUUCAUUGGUUAGACAACUUAUGUGUAUAUAAAUAAGAGCCUCUGCAUCUCUUUUCGUCAAUAUAGAUGAGAUACUUGUCUUGCAAUCACUACACGUUUAUGUCGAAAAAACUUUGUUUUAGGACGGAAUGGCUUCAUCACGAUGUCGUAGAGUGCAUCCUCGAGAGAGCUCCGGUGACAUCUCUGCUGAGAUUCAAGGCUGUAUCGAAGCAGUGGAAAUCAACUAUCGAAUACCAUUCAUGCAUCGUCAGCAAUCAGGAGAUCAUGAUGUUCUUAUGGUGUCUGUUCUUGUCUACAAGGAUGGUUUUACACUGUCCCGGGCAUGUUACCCUCGGGUUUCGAAUGUCUAAGAACAUUGAUGUCGGGUUCAUCAUCGUCACUUCAGAUCCCUACUCAUUGGGAAGACACAUAUCACUUUGUUUGUAAGAGUAGCUGUGACGGUCUCGUUUGUCUCUACUUUCCCGAUCGCAUAUGUUUUGUGAUCAAUCCCACCACUAGGUUGUAUCGAGUUCUUCCUCUCGCUAUAACCAACUCAUCAUCGACACAGGAGUAACCAUUUUGUUUAUGCUUGGGUUCCGCAAAGACAAAUUCACCGGCACAUACAAGCCCGUUUGGUUAUACAACUCCUCCAAGUUUUCACUAGAAAACAUUACUACAUGCGAAGUUUUCGACUUUACCACCAAUGCCUGGAGGUAGGACACUCCCUCUGCACCUUACCGGAUUAUGCGCAGAGAUCCUGCUGCGUAGAAACCAUAAUUAUAUCUUUGGAUCUUCACACUGAAGCUUUUCAAGUCAUCCCUAUAGCUCCUUUUGCCAAUGCACAACAUGACUUGUUCACCAUGUGCGACCUCGACAACCGCUUGUGCGUAUCCUCUAUAAAUUGGCCCAACCAAGAUAUAUGGUCUUUCAAUUCAUAGAGCAAGACAUGGAUCAAGAUUUAUUCCAUAGAUGUUAAUCAAACUUUCAGGCAGUUUGAUUUCCAAGUUCAACUAUACCCGGUCAUGCCACUAGCACUUUUGGUUUGUACAAGUUUACAACUCUUUAAGUUAUGGUUAUGGUCUUGUAUCAACAACGUUAGUGGCUAUUUUGCGAAGUUUUAUUUUUUGUUGUUGUUGUUUUUUUUUUGCAUGUAGCUCGUUUCUCAUAGCUACAAAUUCCUUCAUUACUAAAUUCACUGUUAUCUUGUGUAGGCUUAAUUAAAACAGGAAAACUAAUGUACGUCAAAUUAUUUAAGAUGACAUAAUACAUAUGUAGUUGAAUUAUAGGUUUAAGUUGGAUUAUGCUAUGCAUGCCAACCAAAUAAAAGUUCGUCAUCAGAUCAGACCUUGACACAUAAAAUUCAUGAAUGUUAGCACUUAGAACUAUAUCAUUUAUCUCAAAAUCCCUCCAUAAAACAAACUGUACAUUGCUGAUAACACAACAAUCAUCUUCAUUGAAAUUAUAGAUAGAAUGUAUAUAUAUAUAUAUAUAUUUUAACUUAUUACCUUCCCACUAAACUAUUUCGUUCACAUUAGAAGUGAAAAUGAUUUUAAAGGAAUAUAUAUGAAGUUUAUCGGGCAAAUAAAUCCACUAUUGCUUAUUAGUGAAAAUGAUUUUAAAGUAAUAUAUAUGAAGCUUUUUUUUUUUUUUGAUGACAAAAAAAAAGCAACAUUACCCAUGGGGUUUUAAGCAAUUUUUAGCACAAGAUAUGCUUAGAAUGACUUCUUAAAUAAAAGGCCACUCGGCGACAAAAAAAAAAAAAAGGCCACUCUUAACAAAUCUUAUGGUAAGAAUUGUUUAAGACUCAUGGAUAAUGGUGGUCUUAGUUAUGAGUUAGAAUUCUAAAUGCAGUAUGUUAUAUUCCUUUUUAACAAGUUUCUUAAUUUAUAAUCAUCAAAAAUUUGUAUUUUCUUAUCAAAUAUAGAGUACUAGGUUCGGACCCGCGCUACAGCGCGGAGGAAAAUUACCGGUUUUAUUGGUUUAUUAAGGAAUUUAAAAAUCGAGUAUACAGUUAUAGAAGAUCCAAUUAAAAACUUUUGGAGCCGUUUUUAAAAUAACCCGAUCUGAAUUCCUUUUUUAUUUCUUUUUUAAUAUAUAAGAGAUAUAAUUCUUUGAUAAAACUUGUUCGUAUUAAAUUUGAUUUAAUCAAUAUUUGAAUAUUGUAUUUUGUUAAUAAGACUUUGUAUAAACCAUCGCAAAAAUUUGAUUUUCUCAUACGACCCGUAAUUCACUAAAACUGAAUAACUUUUCCAGAUAAUUUCAAAUUAUAUUUAUGUAAGAUUUGGUAUUACAUUGUAUUUGGUUUUAGUUAAGUGGUGUGUAUUAUGUUCCGAUCGAUUACAAAAUUAUUAAUGAUUUAAUAUAUGUUCUGACAGGUUGUAAAAUUAACAAUUAUUUUAUAUAUUUAUAAUAUUUGAACCAUUUCAAACUUUUAAUAUUUAUAAUAUGAACAUUUUAAAAUUUUUAUACAUAAACUAAUGGUUCAUAUUGCGUUGUAAGCUCUCUAUCUAAUUAAGAGAAUGGGUUAAGGAAGUUUAGGAAAACUAAUCGAGAUGCUAGAAUGAGAGGUUAGGUUAUAGUUUGUAAUUAGAGACACUUGUCUGUUUGUUUUAAAGCCCAGUUCUCGAUUUUAGUUGCUUUAUUAGUCUCUUAUAUAGUGUAGUAACUAUGCGUAGGCAUAGUUAAGUGUAAUAGCAAUGCGUAGUCUCUUAUAUAGUUGUUCACAUCCUAUUAUAGUUAAGUGGUUCAGGAUAUGUUAUUCGUUUUUUAUUCAUCGAAUAUUCUGUUUUUUGAUAUUUUUGAUUUUCAUAAUAUUAGAUUGCACAAAAGCAGGAUCUGUUAUGGCAAAACAAUUAAUUGAAAAUCACGAUUUUUUAGGGAUUGCCCAAAUAUCAAUGAAAUUUCCUAAUAUACAGACAUUUAUAUUUGCAAACUAAUUUAAUUUCGAAAUAACAUUAAUGCUAUGCUAAAAUCGGCCGGAUAUAUCCAAUAAUUUUGGUAAGAUCCAUUAACGAAAUAUCCAAUUAGAAAAUCUGGGUUUAAUUUUUUUAUAACUCGACCCGAAAACACAAUUGUACUUCUCUUUUAAUAUAUAAGGGAUAUGGUAUAGAAACAUUGUACUACAUAUUUUGCCCACCCACACGACCAAAGAGGCUCUUAUAUUUCUAAGAAUUUUUGUAAGAUAUAAACCAUUAUCUUAAUUAAAUAACCAAAAAUAAUUUUUAUUAAACAAACUAAAUAGAAAUAUUACAUAUACAUAGUUAUCAAAAAUUGAUCAGGAUACAUUAUAUACCUUUUGAACUGAGUAAAUAUAUAUGUAAAAAGUUAAAGAAAUAAAAGGUAAAACUGAAAUUUUGCAUAAACAACGUAAUAACAAUAAUGUUAGAGAUUGAAAGAAUAUUUAUUUUGUUCACAUCUUAUAUAGGCUUUAAUUUACGGUUGCUCUAGUAGACCAAUACCAAUAUAACAGUUAUUACUGUUACAUUGGCCUCCAAUUAUGCACCUUACGGAUCGGACCAUUCUCUCUCCUGAAAUAAACUCCAUCUUCUCUAGCUAUCCAAUCAUAUGUGUGUCCGUUAGGCACACCAUCUUGGUAUUUAUACACAUCAAAUUUAUUUCCAAGCCUAUAGUUAGGCCCAUGUCUUAAAGUACACCAAUAAAGUUUCGAGCGACGCCAAUUUUGUUCGACACCAAAAUGGUGUACUUUUCCCCACGGUAUAUAUUUUGGUCCUUGGUCCUGACUUCCAGAUUUAC
rnacentral:lncRNA from 1 species